CUUUCUGUGAGCAGCUGGGUUGCUUGCAGCUUGGUUCAUCUUAGAACCGGUUGAGAAAGGAGUGCCUUACUUAGUGGAUCUUCUGAGGGUCUCCUCCAUUGCCUGGGGCUGGGUUUUCCUUGCGACAUAAAGGAAUGUUGAGAAUUGCACUGACAUAUACUUUCAAUAUUCCUCAAUACAUGUCAAGUAUUUUUCACUGCUACCGUCUCUCCUUUGGUCAGGAUGCAUUGGCCCCAUAAACACUCAAAUCAAGCUGAGUUAGGUGGUUAUAGCAAAGAAAUUGUGUGGUCCGUUAUAAGAUCACCACCUGUGACUGAGAAGAAUGGUCAUCAAUUUCAGCCACCUUAUGGAUAAAAACUUGGUUGUGUAACAUAAGGUCCAGCGAACCUUAGCUGGGACGAUGCUGGAGCAGUGUGCACACAGAAAACAGGACAAAGUAAAAUGAACAGUGACAGGAAAUAGUUACCUUAAGUUCAGGGUUGAUGUAAAUGGUGAGAAAUACAAGCUUACUGUAGAAAACAAACAACAAACAUACAGCCAGCCGCCACUCUGAACAUCUGAAUGUCUGAAGACACCACUUCAAUUGUGGACCAUAUUUGCUUCUUUGUGUCAUUGGCUGCCCUCUUUUGUCUGUGACAUUAUAUCAGUGAUGUCUGGCGAGAGGCAACUGUUACAUAGACAGGUACCCAGUGUUUAGGCAAUAAGACUUAAGGAUCCGUGUUCUCAGUUUUAGGAAACAACUUCAUAUUCUUAUGUCUCAAUUAUGCACUUUAUAUUUUUUAAUGCUUUUUAAAUCAUUAUUAGUUGUUCAUAAGACAAAUUUGACAAUCAGAGGGUUGUUCUUGGUGGAGAUACAUGGCGAUAGAUUAUGUGGAAUACGCCUAAUUUUUUUAAAAUUUCAGCUUUAUUGAGAUAUCAUUCACAUGUAAAAUAAGAUAUUUAAAAUGUACAUCAUGGUGACAAUAAAAAACUUACACAUUGCAAAAA